rnacentral:rRNA from 1 species
AUUGAACGCUGGCGGCAGGCCUAACACAUGCAAGUCGAACGAGUGGCGGACGGGUGAGUAAUGUCUGGGAAACUGCCCGAAGGAGGGGGAUAACUACUGGAAACGGUAGCUAAUACAGCAUACCAUCGGAUGUGCCCAGAUGGGAGUAGCUAGUAGGUGGGGUAACGGCGCACCUAGGCGACGAUCCCUAGCUGGUCUGAGAGAGUGACCGGCCACCCGGGACCGGAGGCACAGUCCUGACUCCUACGAGUGGCAGCAGUGGGUAAUAUUGCACAAUGGUCGCGAGCCUGGUGCAGCCAUGGCGCGUGUAUGCAGAAGGCCUGCGGGUUGUAAAAUACUUUCCGCUAGGAGGCGUUACUCGCAGGAGAGACACCGGGUAGCUCCGUGCCAGCAACCGCGGUAAUAC